ACACUUCAUACUAGACAUACAUAUAUGCGAGGUUCAAUCGCUAGGAAUGCGAAUGCCAAAAGAGUUCAUAAUAAUUAGGCUAAGAAUAUUUAAAGAGUCGAUCUCAAAAGAUAUCCACUUAAGUGAAUAUUAUGGCAGCGGAAAUUAUUAAUUGAAACUACAGCAACAUCCUCCCUCAGCCUCGCAUGACACCACCUGCCGCUCAACCUGCAGAAGGUUUUGAAAACAAUUGCAGGGCCGAGUACUAAUAUACUCAGUGGGUUUAGCCAUUUGAAAAUAUUUGAAAAUCCAUUUAAAAGAAUAAUCCAUGCUAUGAACAGUAUAACAUAGAAAUAUUUGAAAGCAUGCCAUGCAUACUUAAAAUAAAUUUGUGGAUCCAUUUCCAGUCUUCUCUCUAUUGGUGCU
rnacentral:lncRNA from 1 species